CUGAGAUUCGGUAGCCUGUGGAAUCCUUGAUGAAAGUACCAAAGGAUUGCCUCAGGUCAGAAUUUAUUUAUUUUUCCUCUGAUCAUAAUGAGACUCCCCAAAGCUAUGCUGCAAGGCCACAUGAGACAAAGUGCUAGAGGAAGCUGGCGGCAGAGUCCAUGGUGGUGAUAUCUCCUAGUAGGACAGACAGAGCAUCUAUAAUAGGUACAGGGUUCCUUGACUCAAGAUAUGAUAGCAGGAACAUUUUUCACUUCUACAUGAGUCCGAAGUGGAGAUAUUAUGGCACUAUCAAGUUCUGCGUGAGUCUACAGCUGACUAUUUCUUCUCUUUGUCCUUGUGAGAACAGAACCAAUAAUACAUAAAAUGAUCAGUCACAUUAUAUGGGUUAUUUUAGGCAUGAGAGUAAAUACAAUGGCUAUGCCAUUGCUUUACAAUGGCUAUGCCCUUCUUCUCUACACAAGUCAUGGAGGGACAACCCAUCUUCCAACUAUAAAUAGACAGAACUGGCUGGACCGACAUUAUUGCAAUGGGGAAGUGUGAAGCCCUGGAGAUACUCAACUCCAGGGAUUGCAGAAGUUCUUUAUACCUAGUGCGCUAGAAGGGUUAUAGCCAUAAGAAGCUAUUAGGAGAUAGAUGAAAAAUCCACACCACACGUGUGCUUGAAUUAGGAUCUUCUCAAACUCUGGGUUGCAUCCUGGAUACCCAUUUAGCUCUGACUUUUAUUUCACCUCUGAUCUUGUUAUUGUGAUUUAUUAUUGUAAUUAAUUUGAGUACUGAGAACUGGGAACUGGGAACUAAGCCUGUCAUCUGCCUGUGUCCCAGACAUUGCUGAAACAGAUGCAUGUUGCUGAUGCCUUUUUAUACCUGGAAUCUAAUACCAUUACUAUACUACAAUACUAGGAGGACAAGUUAGUUCACAGAAGUUCAAAGCAUCAUGUCUGAUCUCCCAAAAUGCUAAAUUCCAAGGCAGAUCUGAGAGGAAGGUGAGUGAAAUACAUAUAUUGUCAUCAAUUCCCUAAUUUGCCAAAUAAGACAUUUAAUUACAUUAGCAAAUCAAUAGUUUAUUUUUAUUUUUAUUUUUUUUAUAUUUAAUUUUAAGUAUAUGAGCACUACUGGACACUGUGCACCAAGUUUCUCUCUCUUUUUUUCUAAAAAAAAAAAAAAAAAAGGAAAAACUGCAAUAAGAAGAGUAAAAUGGUGGUUGGAGAAACCUUUUAAUGCUACAGAAUUGGUUCAGGAAAUCCAGGAACUGUGGAAACCUGACGAAGAAGCUGC